rnacentral:tRNA from 1 species
GCCUGACUGGCUCAGACAGUGGAGCGUGUGACUCCUGAUCUCAGGUUUGUAAGUUCAAGCCCCAUGUUGGGUG